rnacentral:rRNA from 1 species
UACGUAGGGGGCGAGCGUUGUCCGGAAUUACUGGGCGUAAAGGGUGCGUAGGCGGCCGAUUAAGUUGGAUGUGAAAUACCCGUGCUCAACAUGGGGGGUGCAUUCAAAACUGGUUGGCUAGAGUACAGGAGAGGGAAGCGGAAUUCCUAGUGUAGCGGUGAAAUGCGUAGAUAUUAGGAGGAACACCAGUGGCGAAGGCGGCUUUCUGGACUGACACUGACGCUGAGGCACGAAAGCGUGGGGAGCAAACAGGAUUAGAUACCCUGGUAGUCCACGCUGUAAACGAUGAAUACUAGGUGUAGGGGGUAUGAACUCCCCCUGUGCCGCAGCUAACGCAAUAAGUAUUCCGCCUGGGGAGUACGGCCGCAAGGUUGAA